rnacentral:misc_RNA from 1 species
UCUCCGUUGGUGAACCAGCGGAGGGAUCAUUAUAGAGUUUUCUAAACUCCCAACCCAUGUGAACUUACCUUUUGUUGCCUCGGCGCAGGCUGGGAGCUUCUGUAAACUCCCCCCCGCGGACUCACCUCUGCGCGGAGCAGGCCCGCCGGCGGCCCCACCAAACUCUUGUUUUUAGUGUCUCUUCUGAGUUAAACAAACAAAUGAAUCAAAACUUUCAACAACGGAUCUCUUGGUUCUGGCAUCGAUGAAGAACGCAGC